GAAAGGAUGUUGCCUCUCUAGGCCUAAGCUUGCCUCAGUAUCCCUACAGCACGGUUGCCAUAACAACUAGCAAUCCUAGAGAGUCUCCGCUUCCUCCCAGGAAAGGCAUGAAGAGCUACUUUGAGCCCAGUCCCCAGCUUUCAUCAGUUCCUGGAAGCCCUGCCCAACCAAGCGAGGGGAACGCAGGGCGUCUUCACCCUGCGCCUUUCAUCCUCCACGGAUCUCUAAGCACCAACUGGUUCAUCAUCCCAAUGACGCGGACCCUUUUAUGAGGCUGCUUUCAUGUCGGCCGCUUGGGAGUGCCAUCUCGGCGUUAAGCCUAGAAAGGAUGACAUGGCGCCCCAGCCCCUCCCCCGGAGUUUAUAAGGCAGCUCAUGGGGGGGAAAAUGCAAAUUUUUAUUCCUUCCUGAAUAAUUCCUUAUGUUGGAUUCCUUCUGUUCAUCUGUUCAACUGAUCAUCACAUGAAACACAUAAAUCAUACAGGCCUCAGAAUUGCCCUUGGCUUGCAACCUUGUCAUCAGUGCUUUAUGUCCUCACGCCACACAUUCCCCAAAUCUCCUUUUCAUCCCAAAGUCGUGACAUUAAAAGCAAAUAAAUAAACUCGGAGAUUUCAAAUAGUCUUCUAACCAAUCCUCAGUUUCAUCUUUGUCAAGUCUUGGCUCUUCCUAGAGAAUGACCUUCCUUGCAAAACUGGAUGGAAUAU